GCCAGAUGGAUUGGAUUAGGUCAGAUACC
rnacentral:piRNA from 1 species